CUUAUCCGGAGAGAUCGAGGGAACAGGCCCGAUGACGUCCGACAACCUACUCUGUGAGCAAGGUGCCAAAUCCUGCGGUUCGACCGAAAGAUGAG
rnacentral:ncRNA from 1 species